GACGAACGCUGGCGGCGUGCUUAACACAUGCAAGUCGAACGGGUCUGCCCUGUUUUUUGCGGGGUGGGUCAGUGGCGAACGGGUGAGUAACACGUGAGUAACCUGCCCCUCACUUCUGGAUAACCGCUUGAAAGGGUGGCUAAUACGGGGUGUUCUGGCUGUGCCGCAUGGUGUGGCUGGGAAAGAUUCACUUUUGUGGUGUUUUGGUGGGGGAUGGGCUCGCGGCCUAUCAGCUUGUUGGUGGGGUGAUGGCCUGCCAAGGCUUUGACGGGUAGCCGGCCUGAGAGGGUGGGCGGUCACACUGGGACUGAGAUACGGCCCAGACUCCGGCGGGAGGCAGCAGGGGGGGGUAUGGCACAAUGGGCGGAAGCCUGAUGCAGCGACGUCGCGGGAGGGAUGGAGGCCUUCGGGUUGUGAACCUCUUUCGCCGGUGAAGAGGGUCCUGCUCUUUGUGGUGGGGUUGACGGUAGCCGGGUUAUGAAGCGCCGGCUAACUACGUG
rnacentral:rRNA from 1 species